rnacentral:lncRNA from 1 species
AAAGUAAAGGAUUGGGACCUAAUCUGUUGUUCCUAAUCUGUUGUUCAGAGAUUGAGUAUGAUGAAGGGGAGCUGUAAACUAUGAAUGCGAUUCACCAAAGGAGCAGUUUGUGUCUACUACUGAAAAUACUCUCUCAGUCAGCACUUCUGAAACUGCACUGUGCUAAAGAACACAAGGAAGGAUAGAAGACAGUUGUUCCUUGCUUCAAGCUUCAGAUGAUGUGCUAACAUUCUUUCGAUAUGUAAAAGACAACAGUGAUAAGUUGUUUUUAUAUAUCUACUGAAGAGAAGACAAGACUUCUGUGUACUUUUGCGGUAAAUACAAUACAAGUUGGGUAUAAGGCACUUUUUUUGGUAAC